rnacentral:rRNA from 1 species
AACCNNNNGAUUGCAUUUGGAACUAUCAAGCUAGAGUACAGGAGAGGAAAGCGNAAUUCCUAGUGUAGCGGUGAAAUGCGUAGAUAUUAGGAAGAACACCAGUGGCGAAGGCGGCUUUCUGGACUGAAACUGACGCUGAGGCUCGAAAGCGUGGGGAGCAAACAGGAUUAGAUACCCUGGUAGUCCACGCCGUAAACGAUGAGUGCUAGGUGUCGGGGAGGAAUCCUCGGUGCCGCAGCUAACGCAAUAAGCACUCCACCUGGGGAGUACGACCGCAAGGUUGAAACUCAAAGGAAUUGACGGGGGCCCGCACAAGCGGUGGAGCAUGUGGUUUAAUUCGAAGCAACGCGAAGAACCUUACCAAGGCUUGACAUCCCGAUGACCGCUCUAGAGAUAGAGCUUCUCUUCGGAGCAUCGGUGACAGGUGGUGCAUGGUUGUCGUCAGCUCGUGUCGUGAGAUGUUGGGUUAAGUCCCGCAACGAGCGCAACCCUUAUCUUCAGUAGCCAUCAUUCAGUUGGGCACUCUGGAGAGACUGCCGUGGAUAACACGGAGGAAGGUGGGGAUGACGUCAAAUCAUCAUGCCCCUUAUGUCUUGGGCUACACACGUGCUACAAUGGCUGGUAACAAAGUGACGCGAAACGGCGACGUUAAGCAAAUCACAAAAACCCAGUCCCAGUUCGGAUUGUAGUCUGCAACUCGACUACAUGAAGCUGGAAUCGCUAGUAAUCGCGAAUCAGCAUGUCGCGGUGAAUACGUUCCCGGGCCUUGUACACACCGCCCGUCACACCAUGGGAGUUGGAAGCACCCGAAGUCGGUGACCUAACCGUAAGGAAGGAGCCGCCGAAGGUGAAGCCAGUGACUGGGGUGAAGUCGUAACAAGGUAACC